UUCACUAAUGUAGUUAAGGCCUGGGUCAGGCACUGAUAAGAUUAAUUUUAUUCAUUGCCAACAUUUUAUGUAGAUCAUGUAGAUCAUGUAGUGUUAAUGAGAUUCAUAAUGUUUAUUAAUGUUAUUCAUUGCAUGUGACGUCAUAAGGUCAAUGUAUUUGCUUAGCUAGCUGCUAGAACUAUUAUAGAUUAUCUUUGGCAACAAAUACGGCGGACUUAAACAAGGCUGUUUUAUCGAAAAUGGUUUUCACUGACUUGCGGGGUGCGGAUGUCGCAGACAGUAGCUUCUUCUCCACUCAUAUGCUGUUCCGGUAUUGGUCCACCAGGUCUCACCUUGCUCGAGAUAAGUUGAUAUGCGUUGUAGAUGUCCUGCUUAUUCUUGUCUGGACAAAGUGUUUUGUGAAGUGUGCUGUCUAAUUCCUUUAGCUUCCUUGGAAAUUUUGCUGUAUGCGGGUUGUAUACAUGUCUUUAGUCUUUUGUUUUGCUUGUAGCCUCAGUAAAAUGUUAGGCACAAUGUUUUCGCAGUAGCGAUAUCCUUGGCCUGUCCAAACAGCCUUUCUUCGCGUUCAGUGUUACAACUCAUCAUUUGAAACUGAGCUGGUGCAUGUACAGUCAGUGCAUGUAGGUAUAUAUCGUAGAGUUUUCUUCUGGUAAUAUGCUUAGGGGACGGGAUUUAGGGGACGGGAUGAAAUGUAGCCACGUAGUAUUAUAUAGUCUCAAAAUUUCUUUGUUGGUUCUUUCGGUUUCUCCCUGCUAGAGUUUGUAGCAAAGUACACAGUGUUUGUGCCUACUAAGUGAAUGAGUGUUAGUCGCUCCAGUUUUCUUCUUCUUUAAAUCUGCUUCUAAUAGUUGUUUGUAGUGUGUCUUGAUGGGUAGUGUGUCUUGAUGGCAGGGUCCAGAAUUGAAGGGAGUUCAGUAAUCACGUUGUUGAUGUGUCCUUUUAAAUCAUGCAGGGGUUCACAAUCAAGUACUUGGUAUAAGUCUAGGUUUAGCUGUCCCAAAGGUUGUGUGGGGUUGUGGAUGAGCAGGGAUGGUACGCCUUCAAGAGCCUAAUGAAGUGUUUGUUGUAGGUCUUUCUUUGUAGUUGCACUGGUGUAUAUAUCUCGGUUACAUAGUUUGUCCUUAAUUUCCUCCUUGGUGAGUGCAUCAAGAGUACACCAGGUUUCUUGCCUGCUUUUCCUAGGAAAAUUACUGACUUAUACAUGUGAGAAAUUAUGCUCAAUACACAUUACGAUUCUGUGUAUGCGUGUGUGUGUAUUAUUGUACCAUUGUACCAUUGCAGUCUGUUACAAUAAUGUUGCUAUUCUACAUAGUUGGCUCUGCACUGUUGCCCAAUGCCCAAUGGCCUAUUCAUUGAAAUAAUUUUCCUAUACCAGCCUAUACCUAGUAACAGAGUGGUUGCCAGGCAUAAACGUUAAGGCAUGAAUGAUUAUGCGACAGUAAAUGUAUUUACCCUUUGUUGCUGUUGUUUGUAUGUCUUGUAGAUCCUUCCACUUUCGGGUAAAGCAGUGCCCUAGAUCGUCCAUGCGUUGAGCAGAACAACCGCAUGUAGCACAUGGAAAUCCUCGCCCUUGCUGACAUCCUCUGACAUCCUCUUUCAAAUUGUGCUGCAGGCUUAUCUCCAUAGAAGAACAUCAGUUGGUCUUGUACUUGCACUCUAUUGCUACAUUUAAGUGGAGUUAAAUGAGACGGAACAGAAAUAUAUUUCCCGGGCAUUUUUAACUUCCGAGCUCUCACUCUUGUUCACUCUUGUUCCGGACUGGCGACUAUCUAGUUGACGUAUGUCUACACUGUUUCUUUCAGCAAACUCCUGCCCAUUGUUUUUCCCAGGUACGUUAUAUUCUCUAGCAAACUUGUUCCAGUUAAUUUUUGUGUCGUUCGGAAAUGAUCUUAAGUCCUCAGUACAUUUUCCUUGUCCCAUGUUGCAUUUUCGAGCUUUGGUGCACUACUUACCUUGUGGGGUCUCAAACGACUGUGACAGUCGUAAUCGUUUAUAGCUUUGCAUAGAGAUUCCUUCUGCAAGUACAGUUAGAGAGUCAGUGUUUUUGUAGUGAGCCUAUUGGAUCCUAAAAUAGACAUGCUGUCUAACUGCCGAACGUUCGUUUUCUUCACUGCGAAGAUCCUCCGAAGUACAAUGACACAAUGCAAUCUUUUUUUAUUGUAUAUAUAUAUAUUCAUACCCACUUAACAGAUUCUGUAGAUUUAAAGUAUAUUAUAGCAGAACAAUUAAUCCAGGUAAACCCGCGUAGAAUUAAUUUGUACCAAAUUUGCUCAGAAUUAAUCUCUGGGAAUUUAGAAUGCCAAAAUUUUCCGGGGCAAGCCCCCGGACCCCCAGAUUUAUCCAGCACCUCCUACUCCUCUGCUAUACAUGCACAUGCCUAUAGUAUGUGUGCAUGUGUAUAGACAACUGCCAAGGUGUUGGUGGCUAUUGGCUACAUCAAUGAUCUAAUAUCCCACUCUGUUACAAACAUGGAACAUGAUUACGGUCCCAUGGGUGUACGUACAGCACAGCCAUACGUACAGCACAGCCACACUUCAGACCAUGUUUUCUGGGUCCGGAGUAGUAUAAUUAAAAUUUGUACAUGAUGUAUCGUACUGCAUAAUUAUAGUGAAUGUGUAUGUACCUAUAGGCACACUGCUUUAACAAUAGUAAUUCUUGGAGACCCAGCAUACCCUCUUCUACCGUGGUUGAUGAAACCUUUUGCAGACACAGAAAAUAUAAUUAUAGGCAAAGUAGAGUAGUUGAGAAUGCGCUUCUACCGUGGUACCUUUUGCAGACACAGAAAAUAUAAUUAUAGGCAAAGUAGAGCUAGGAUGGUAGUUGAGAAUGCCGUUUGAAGGGAAGAUGGAGAUGUUUACUGAAGAGAAUGGACUGGGAGAAUGGACUGGUCAUGUUUGUGAUGUUGUUGCUUCUUGUAUCGUUCUACAUAAUAUCUGUGAAAUGUAUGGUGAUAAUUGCUUAGAGGAAUGGACGCAAUGGACGCAUCACGAGGAGCCUUCUAGUAUGUUCUCGUCGUCAUCACAUCCCACUCCUGGUACACUCGAUAUCCGAGAAGAAGCAUCUAUCAAUGUAAUUCUGUUAUAAAUAUCACAUGUUCACCAUAAUUAUUAUCACACUGGUGUUGGAGUGAUGUUUAUCAUCUGAGACCAUCAUCAUGGUUUGCUUGCUUCUGCCUCUAGCUUCACUCUCUUCUUUCUCCGUACACUCACAAUUCCUCAGUGAAACUUGAUGUUAAAUAUGACGCAAGGCUCUAGGUAAAUGUGGGUGUUACAUCCUGUCAUGCUGGACUACUGGGACCUUCAAUUAUUGCUGAAUCUGCAAAUUCUAAGACCUGCCCACACGGUCGCCAUGGUUUCCGCCCACGCGUUCAUUGCAGUAAAUCAGUUAGUUUUAGAGAAGUGACUUAUGCGGUGCUUAAAACACUAAAGUUUGUGAGGCAAUAGAUUAUGGCGUGCCGUUUGUAUCAAAAUUAUUUUGAUGGUUACAAGCGCAUACGCACCCCACUACGCAUAUGGUAGAGGGGGGCGUAGUAAACAACAAGCGAACUCUGUACUGGAUACUGAAAGGCCUGUGCUCCUGUGCUCUGCUGUCUGAUAGUAGUGAUAGUGAAGAGUCUGUCUAUGAUGAUGUUACUGAGUGGAAAGAAUCAUUUUCAAGGAUUUCCAAGUUUCUAAAGGACUGUGAGCGAGCGAAACAAAUCAGAUUUUGUGACUCGUGAGAAGGCUGAAUUUAUUUGUGAACGUACUUAGGUUUGUGAUCACAUAGUGCAGUCAGACUCUUAUCUCAUCGAACGCCUUAUCUACUGUUGAGGGCGAGAACUGCUAUUGAAUAGAGGAAGUUUUGCCUCACCUCACCUCAGUAAUUAAAUUUCCUAAUAAACCAGGUCGACCUCCAUUUGAUGUUGAUACAGAUACAGAACAAAUACUGUACCUACGUGAAGUAGGUUUUACCUUGUCAGAUAUUGCCAGGAUUUUGGGAGUCACAUUGUAUAGGAGAAGAAAAGAAACUGGAAUCUUAGAAAUCAAUCGGUGAGUAUAGUGUUUAUAAUUAUUACACAUAAAAAUUAUUGUGUCAUCCAUAAUUAUAAUAUCGUUCAUGCCGGAAAAAUUGAAGUUGCCUGAGUCUGACUGAAAAUUAAUACUCAGUCUGCCCUAAGACCCCCAACAUUCCAGUAUUUCUAAGACAAGACAGGAAGCAUUACGUAAUGUAAACCUCAAAUAUUUUAAUGAUAUUCAUAAUAAUGAUGUAAUAAAUUGUCAUAAAACUACAACAAGACUCAGUCAUGUGUAGCCAACUGCAGCAUGAAUGAAAAAACAACAACAACACAAGGUAUGUAUGAGAAUAAUGAUGUACUGUAUAAGCUAGAUCAAGCUGUCCAGAUCUGUGUAAUCUAUGUUUGUAGCACUACCAUCAUCCACUGUGGUUUGUUGACAUAAUAAUUAUUAUCUUCUGUCACUGACAGUUUCAGAUUCUGAGUGUGGAUCUUCAUUAGAGGUCGCUAUUAGAGGUCGCUGUAUUUUUACAGUCCUGGCAUUUUUACAGUCCUGGCAUCAUAAUUUUCUUUCUUCUUUACAUGCAGGGCAAAAUUGAAAGAUAAACUGAGCUAGUGGAGGUGGAUGGCCUGGAUAAUUAUUCCCUUAUAUUUUAUUAGUGCUAGCUCAUAUAAUACACCAGGCUAGAAUUAUAUGUUUAUUAUGCUCACUCAUAUGACUUGUUUUCUUGUUGCAUGCUGCACUGUACUUACCUAGUGAAAGGUUUCUGUUGUGUAAACUUUCUCUGACCACACGGUGAAGCCAGGCUGAUAAUAACAUUUUUGUGGUCAUGUACCUCAAUUAACACUGUAGUGAAGCACAGUUCACGGUGUUUUUUUUUG